CCGCCAUGGGCGGCACGCGGGCCCCUGCGCAGCCGGGUAAGUUCGGCAAAGACACGAGCCGAGGGACGACAGGACCCCCGUCGUGCACCUCGUCGGAGGCCGGCGGCGAUGCCCGAGUGUCCCCAGAAAAAGCGCAGGUAACCUGGCGGUGCAAAGGAGCCGAAUGGCCCGGUACUCACCGGAUCAGAACCCGACUUCCGGACGACGUCGGAAACGGCGACGGCCCGAGAGGAAGUCCCGCCCCCACGGUGAUGGCGCAACUUGGCGUCGAGGGGCGUGGCCACGCGGAGCGUUUCUACCCGCUCGGCGAACGGCCGUGGGGUGGGGGACCCUAACCCAGCUUUUCCCGUCCUUCCCCCGGUCCAAAUCACAAGAUAAAAAGAGAGAUCGGUGGUAAACUUUUAUUAUCCCGUUAGGUCGCAGACCCGGGCCACGUCCCGCGGCCUUGCCGCUGCCGGUCCCAGCCAGCUACGGGGGUUGGCGAUGGGGCGCCCGCCCCACGAUCGACUCUUCCAAGCCCAAGAGUCCUCUUUCCAGGUCCAUUACCCCGCCUUUCUGACCUUUAUAGUGACACCCCCCCCACCCCCAACGAAGAUUGUGCUGAGAACUUCAUUCAAUACUGCUCUUCAAGACUGGGCGCUGGCCAAGAAUAGGAACCCUGCCUUUCCCAUCUUACAAAUGAGGAGAUUGGUACAGAAAAGUCAUACAGCCAAAAGAGCGUACCCAUGCACUCCCACAAACCUCCAGGGAAAAGGUAAUCCAAUUGAAAAGUGGACUGACGACACUUCACAGAAAAGAAACAGCGGAUUAACAAUGAAAGAGCCUCAGUCCCAUCGUGUUGAACUUCACCCAACCCUGUGAUCCUGGAAGAGAGCGAAGGUUAAGAAACCCUAUCCCACCGUUUUGUGUCCUGGAACACAGCUUACUGCAAAGAAACACCCUCCCUCAUAUGACAGAUAAAAUUCAUAGGUGCCCCCUUGUUUACCUAUCUCAAGGCUAGCAACAGACUCCAAAUUCCAAUUCUUUGCCUUGUAAACGCUUAGAUGAACUGCUUGUCCCCACUGAUCAAUCAGAGCAAAAUGCUUGUUAACCAAACUUUGGUUAAGCUUCUCUCCUUCCUCCAGGUCCCUGAACUUUGCCUUCCCCAUCCACCCCCCAAGUUUGAGCCAGCACACAACCCCUCCUGAGAAUAGCCUGGCUGCAGGGUAAAACAUUUUCUGAUCUACUGUUCCAUCAUGCCACUUCUGGUCAUCCCGCUUCCUCACACCCAGUUUUUUCUGGCCUUGUUUACUUUUCCCUAUGAAUGACAGACUCCUUUUGCCUAACCCUUGAAGGCACACGUAGAUCUUAUGGUCCCAUUUCAAUACCUUCUUUCUCCCUUGAAAUAGUUCCUUUCCUCUCUUGGAAUAAUCAUUUAAAAUGAAGCCUC